AUCCUCAAGCGGACAGCCAGCCAUUCGCUUGAGAUUUUUCUCUGCGUCGUUGAAAUAUCUCACACGCGUUCGUCCUCCAGCCCAGCCGUUCCUAUCCAGCCGUUCCUAUCCGGUGAAUUCCCAGCCGCUUGUGCCAUCUCCAGCACGCAGCCUUGGACAUCGCUUCGUCUCCUUAGCUGCUCGCCGGCGCUCCUCUGCAGGCCGCGCCCAGCUUAUCUCCCUCGACGCUCGCGGCUCUCUCUCUCUCUCUCCCCCCUGGUCCCUGCCAUGGCCGCCGCGCUGCAGCUCUCUGGUGCUCGGUCGCCCAAUCUCCCUGCUCGGCGCCCGACUGCAGCUCGCCGGAGCUUCCUACCGAGUCCCUAUGGUGCGCCCUCCCAUGCCGGCGCGCGUGCUACCUCCCUGCUCUCUCUCUGCCGCAGUCCAGCUUGGAGUUUCUCUCUCAGCUCGCCCGAUGGUGCUCGGCCGAGCUCCCUGGCGCGCACGUCCCGGUCGCAGCUCGGAUCUUCAUGACCACAGCACCCUCCAUGGACGCGAGCUCCAAGCUCCUGCUCGUCCAGCCCCUUUCCAGACGCCCCUGCAGAGUCCCUAGCCAACUCGCGCCCAGCCCCAUGUCCCUGGAUUGCUCGUGGGUGUGGCCGGAGUCGCUCACCUCGAUCUCUCUCGCUCUUCGUCUAUCGGAUUUCGCGCGUGCUCGCAUUUGCUGUUGAGUCGUCGAACCCGUCAUCCCCUGCUCAACCCCACCUCACCAGCUCGCUCCAAACACGAUCUCGUCAUCGUUUCGUGUGUCGUCAAGAAAUCCCAAGCGUCGGAUGAAGACGUAGCCAACAGCGCGAUAUUCCCCAAGCGCUCGACAAAUUGCCUGGAUCGGAAAAUCGCUACCGAUCUCGCAGAUUCGUGUCAGCUGCUGAAGCGGAACGUUAAUCAAUCGCGCGAUGCGGAAGACAAGCCAAGUCGACCCCAAGCGCGGGCUACUCCGCAGGAUGAUGCUGAUGGACAAGCCUGAAGAUACUCGUCAAGUGGACGUCACCUAACAACACUAACCUAGUGUUACUCAGGCAAGCCCCGGUGCAUGCAACCCCUUCCUUGUGUUUUUAAAUAAUUUUUGCACACUUUAAGUCUAGUGAAAUGUGCAUUAGGUUUAUAGGAGUUGCUUGAAACCCUUUGAUGCAUUGCCUUCCUUGAUAUCCAUACCUAUAUAGAUACUUCUGGUGAAGUAUCAAAAUAUGAUUUACAAAAAUGCUUAGCCCUGCUUAGAUCUUGUGGUUAGAGGUUGUCUUUUGCGAUACUGCCUAGCUCAGGGGUUAUCCUGAGGAAAGAUGGCUUCUACCUGCAAGAAUAUUUUCAUUGAGAGCGUGGUGGGAUCUUACUGCAAAGUUCCCUGUGAUGCUCUUUUCAUCCUAAGGAACACAAACAAUCCUAAGGGUGGAAAUACUUAAAUCGGGACUUGGGCUAGGAACAGGUGAUGUUCUACCCAGGUUGAUUAAGGAUUGGAUGCGUAUGUUGGCCUGCUGACCGAGGACCCUUUAACUGGUCACAUGCCUCGUCAUGGGUAAGCUUUGCCUCGGGUAGACUAAGGCCAGAAUAAGAUAACACGAAAUGGGCGUGGAGCGGUGGCGAGAGUAGCGUGUACCCUCCGUGGCAAGAGGCUGGACGGUGGUGUAUCUGUGCUCUCGGUUUGCGUGAACCUGAUCUGGUCUUAAGAACCCCGGUGGCGAGUUGACAUAUGCAAGGGUUAAGUGCUACAUAUGUCGUGUGAUUGGAGAUCCUCAGCUGAGUAUAAUCGAUUCGGAUCGCCGUACCUUCGCGGUUAUGAAGACUUGGUCACUGACCUGCAACCUAAGUCAGGAUGUGAACAUUAUGAAUAAAAAUGAUGUUGUAUUGAUGAGAUGGUGAAAGUAGACCAUAUGCAAACAAAGUCUAUUAAUACUUAAUCUGGCAUUAAAAUAUUGAAAGUAAGGACUCACUUUAGUAAGCUAUUUCUGCAAAAGUAUCUAAGUUGAUUCUUGCUAAAGCCUCUCCUUGAUUCCCAAAUCCAGCAUAUCCUUGAGAGUCUUUUCUUUAGUCGGGUAAGUCUUGCUGAGUAAUUCCAUACUCAGGGUUUUAUUCCCUGUUGUUUUUCAGGUUUUAACUUUGUGCUGUUGUUGAUGGUGUUAAGUGCCGGUGGGCUCGGCCUUCUUAUAAGUCUAAGUAACUCUUCUAUACUUCUUAUUGAGGAUGAUCACUUAAGCUAGCAUAUAUUUCAAACUUAUACUUUUGUAAUCACUCCGAUAAAAUAAUGUAAAAUUUUUGUAACCUAUAAAAUUUGGUAAUAAGAUUUCCGCUGCAAAAA